rnacentral:rRNA from 1 species
AGGUUAAGUUAACAAGGGCGCAUGGUGAAUGCCUUGGCACUAGGAGCCGAUGAAGGACGGGACUAACACCGAUAUGCUUCGGGGAGCUGUACGUAAGCUAUGAUCCGGAGAUUUCCGAAUGGGGCAACCCAGCAGUUUUAAUCAACUGUUACCACUAGAUGAAUUCAUAGUCUAGUUGGAGGUAAACGCUGUGAACUGAAACAUCUCAUUAGCAGCAGGAAUAUAAAGAAAUUUCGAUUCCCUAAGUAGCGGCGAGCGAACGGGGAACAGCCCAAACCAAAGUGCUUGCACUUUGGGGUUGUAGGACUGAACAUUUGAGUUACCAAAGAACUUGAUAGUCGAAGGAUUUGGGAAAAUCCGCCAUAGAUGGUGAUAGCCCAGUAGAUUAAAUCAAAUUCUCUCAGUUCAGGAUCCUGAGUACGGCGGAACACGUGAAAUUCCGUCGGAAUCCGGGAGGACCAUCUCCCAAGGCUAAAUACUACCUAGUGACCGAUAGUGAACCAGUACCGUGAGGGAAAGGUGAAAAGCACCCCGGGAGGGGAGUGAAAUAGUUCCUGAAACCAUGUGCCUACAAUAAGUCAGAGCGCGUUAAUGCGUGAUGGCGUGCCUUUUGUAGAAUGAACCGGCGAGUUAUGAUCCCGUGCAAGGUUAAGACUAAAAAGUCGGAGCCGUAGCGAAAGCGAGUCUGAAAUGGGCGUUUUGAGUACGAGGUUAUAGACCCGAAACCAGGUGACCUAUCCAUGUCCAGGUUGAAGGUGCGGUAAAACGCACUGGAGGACCGAACCCGUGUAAGUUGAAAAUUGCUGGGAUGAGGUGUGGAUAGCGGUGAAAUUCCAAACGAACUUGGAGAUAGCUGGUUCUCUCCGAAAUAGCUUUAGGGCUAGCCUCGGAAUUAGGAUCAUGGAGGUAGAGCACUAUUUGGACUAGGGGCCCGUCUUGGGUUACUGAAUUCAGAUAAACUCCGAAUGCCAUUGAUUCAUAUCCGGGAGUCAGACGAUGAGUGAUAAGAUCCACCGUCGAAAGGGGAACAGCCCAGACCAUCAGUUAAGGUCCCUAAAUGUAUGCUAAGUGGAAAAGGAUGUGGAGUUGCAUAGACAACUAGGAUGUUGGCUCAGAAGCAGCCACCAUUUAAAGAGUGCGUAAUAGCUCACUAGUCGAGUGAUCCUGCGCCGAAAAUGUACCGGGGCUAAGCAUACUACCGAAACCAUGGAUGCGACCAUUAGGUCGCGUGAUAGGAGAGCGUUCUAAGGGCGGUGAAGCAAGAUCGUGAGGACUUGUGGAGCGCUUAGAAGUGAGAAUGCCGGUAUGAGUAGCGAAAGAUAGGUGAGAAUCCUAUCCACCGAAUGACUAAGGUUUCCUGGGGAAGGCUCGUCCUCCCAGGGUUAGUCGGGACCUAAGUCGAGGCCGAGAGGCGUAGACGAUGGAUAACAGGUUGAGAUUCCUGUACUAGUUAAGUGCGUUUGAGCAAUGGAGGACGCAGGAGGGCUAAGAUGUGCAUUCUGUUGGAUUAGAAUGUCCAAGCAGUAAGUCUUGUGAAGAGUCAAAUGCUUUUCACUUUAAGGAACAAGCUGUGAUGGGGAAGCGAAAUUUAGUAGCGAAGCGUCUGAUGUCACACUGCCGAGAAAAGCUUCUAGUGAGUACUUAACUACCCGUACCGCAAACCGACACAGGUAGUCGAGGAGAGAAUCCUAAGGUGAGCGAGUGAACUCUCGUUAAGGAAUCGGCAAAAUGACCCCGUAACUUCGGGAGAAGGGGUGCUUGAUCGCAAGAUCAGCCGCAGUGAAUAGGCCCAGCGACUGUUUAUCAAAAACACAGGUCUCUGCAAAAUCGUAAGAUGACGUAUAGGGGCUGACGCCUGCCCGGUGCUGGAAGGUUAAAGGAUGGGUUAGCUUCGGCGAAGCUCAGGAAUUGAAGCCCCAGUAAACGGCGGCCGUAACCUAUAACGUCCUUAAGGUAGCGAAAUUCCUUGUCGGGUAAGUUCCGACCCGCACGAAAGGCGUAACGAUCUGGGCACUGUCUCAACGAGAGACUCGGUGAAAUUAUAUUGUCCGUGAAGAUGCGGACUACCCGCGACAGGACGGAAAGACCCCAUGGAGCUUUACUGUAGCUUGAUAUUGAGUGUUUGUACAGCUUGUACAGGAUAGGUAGGAGCCAUAGAACCGGAACGCUAGUUUCGGUGGAGGCGUUGGUGGGAUACUACCCUCGCUGUAUGACCACUCUAACCCGCACCACUAAUCGUGGUGGGAGACAGUGUCAGGUGGGCAGUUUGACUGGGGCGGUCGCCUCCUAAAAAGUAACGGAGGCGCCAAAGGUUCCCUCAGAAUGGUUGGAAAUCAUUCGCAGAGUGUAAAGGCACAAGGGAGCUUGACUGCGAGACAGACAGGUCGAGCAGGGACGAAAGUCGGGCUUAGUGAUCCGGUGGUACCGUAUGGAAGGGCCAUCGCUCAACGGAUAAAAGCUACCCUGGGGGAUAACAGGCUUAUCUCCCCCAAGAGUCCACAUCGACGGGGAGGUUUGGCACCUCGAUGUCGGCUCAUCGCAUCCUGGGGCUGUAGUCGGUCCCAAGGGUUGGGCUGUUCGCCCAUUAAAGCGGUACGCGAGCUGGGUUCAGAACGUCGUGAGACAGUUCGGUCCCUAUCCGUCGCGGGGCGUAGGAAAUUUGAGAGGACCUGUCCUUAGUACGAGAGGACCGGGAUGGACAUACCUCUGGUGUACCAGUUGUGCCGCCAGGCGCAUCGCUGGGUAGCUACGUAUGGAUGUGAUAAACGCUGAAAGCAUCUAAGUGUGAAACACACCUCGAGAAUGAGAUUUCCCAUUCCUUUAUGGAAGUAAGACCCCUGAAAGAUGAUCAGGUAGAUAGGUUAGAAGUGGCAGUGCGGUGACGCAUGAAGCGGACUAAUACUAAUCGGUCGAGGACUUAACCAAG